AAUGAACGCUGGCGGCAGGCCUAACAACUGCAAGUCGAACGAGUGGAGGACGGGUGAGUCAUAUAGGGGAAACUGCCCGAUGGAGGGGGAUACCUACUGGAAACGGUAGCUAAUAACGCAUACCAUCGGAUGUGAACUGAUGGGAUUAGCGAGUAGGUGGGGUAAAGGCUCACCAAGGCGACGAUCCCUAGCUGGUCUGCGCGGAGGACCAGCCACGCUGGAACCGCGACACGGGCCAGACGCCUACGGGAGGCAGCAGAUGGGAAUAUUGCACCAUGGGCGCAAGCCGUAUGCAGCGAUGCCGCGUGUAUGAAGAAGGCCUUCGGGUUGUAAAGUACUUUCAGCGGGGAGGCGUUACCCGCAGAAGAAGCCCCGGCUAUCUCCGUGCCAGCAGCCGCGGUAAUUC
rnacentral:rRNA from 1 species